UGGGCAAGCAGCCAAAAAAACACGUUGUCCGACAGAUUUUUUUGGUUGUCCCGGAACGUCAGGCUAGAGAUUUUGCGAGCCCUACUCUGGGUAGCUGUGGAUGAAGAAAGACCGGAGGGCGACAGUGUAGCAUGCGGGUCAUGAGGUGGGGCCUGAUGAGCCUAGGCUGGGUCGCCUGGGCGAGGGUGUCUCACCUUGAAAGACCUGAAACCCCUGCUGACCGCAGACAGCCAACACAUAUCUGGAGCUGUCGGGUUGGACCAGCACAAAACCGGAACAACACUAAACCACAGUCACAAAAAUAACCUGC